AUAUUAGAACGAAAUGUGGGUUACACUACUCAUUCACUAUACCAUUACACUGUGUUUUGGAUCAAUUACUUGUCAUUUACCACAGUAUGCGUCGACACCGUCUAACAAAAUAGAUCAGUUCUGUGUAUUAGCAGAGUCUUGUAUUCACGACACAAUAGCGGUUUGCGGCAGAAUGGGCGAAGAAAAACGAACCUUUUUGGAUCUCUGUGAUAUGUUGGAGUAUGCUUGCGAUUCCAAUCAAAUUUACACUCACAUAGACGACACGCCCGAAUGUCCAUCUAUAAAAAAUCCUAACUAAAAAUAAACAAUAUAAAUUAUAGCACUUAUAUUUGGUCCAUAAACAACGCUGUAACGAGCAAGCAAUCUCUCCAUGUAUCACAAGCCGAGCGAAACUCAGACGCGAAACUCUUUGCAAAAAAAGGAUCUUAACUUAAAUAUGUGUUUAAGUAUCAUUACGGUAAUGCGCUUAGCCUGACCCGAGAUCUUGAGAGGGAGAUGGUGUUAUUUGUGAAGGAACACGCAAGAAAAAGACGGACAACGCUCGAAGGUUGACCGGGUAACAGGUUGAAGCAGACAGAAUAAGUAUAGCAAAGUAAGUUAGUCCGUGGACGAGACGCAUCUUGAGCUGGUUUCACUGAUGUUCUAAACUUUAAUUAAAAUAAAUUUAGUUUUAUUAUAA